UCGAGGGGCAGCACGAUGUAGCAAUACAUUGGUGGCGACCGGCGCACGGGUGAGUAACGCGUAUGCAACCUACCUAUCAGAGGGGAAUAACCCGGCGAAAGUCGGACUAAUACCGCAUAAAACAGGGGUUCCACAUGGAAAUAUUUGUUAAAGAAUUAUCGCUGAUAGAUGGGCAUGCGUUCCAUUAGAUAGUUGGUGAGGUAACGGCUCACCAAGUCCACGAUGGAUAGGGGUUCUGAGAGGAAGGUCCCCCACACUGGUACUGAGACACGGACCAGACUCCUACGGGAGGCAGCAGUGAGGAAUAUUGGUCAAUGGGCGAGAGCCUGAACCAGCCAAGUCGCGUGAAGGAUGAAGGAUCUAUGGUUUGUAAACUUCUUUUAUAUGGGAAUAAAGUGAGGAACGUGUUCCUUUUUGUAUGUACCAUAUGAAUAAGCAUCGGCUAACUCCGUGCCAGCAGCCGCGGUAAUACGGAGGAUGCGAGCGUUAUCCGGAUUUAUUGGGUUUAAAGGGUGCGUAGGUGGUUAAUUAAGUCAGCGGUGAAAGUUUGUGGCUCAACCAUAAAAUUGCCGUUGAAACUGGUUGACUUGAGUAUAUUUGAGGUAGGCGGAAUGCGUGGUGUAGCGGUGAAAUGCAUAGAUAUCACGCAGAACUCCGGUUGCGAAGGCAGCUUACUAAACUAUAACUGACACUGAAGCACGAAAGCGUGGGGAUCAAACAGGAUUAGAUACCCUGGUAGUCCACGCAGUAAACGAUGAUUACUAGCUGUUUGC
rnacentral:rRNA from 1 species